rnacentral:ribozyme from 1 species
UUUUUUUUUUUUUUUUUUUUUUUUUGUCUCACUUCAUCAUAUCGG